rnacentral:rRNA from 2 species
CCUCUAAUCAGUGAAACUGAUCUCCCCGUGAAGAAGCGGGGAUAUACAUAUAAGACGAGAAGACCCCAUGGAGCUUUAAACCUGACAGCACCCGCUCAUUCUAUACCCCAUUAUUUGCCCGACCCCUGUCUGCUCAGUUUUAGGUUGGGGUGACCACGGAGUAUAAAAUAACCUCCAUGAAGAAGGGGAUAUUUCCCUUAUUAGAGAACCACACUUCCAAGAACUAAUAAAUUAAUUUUCAAUGACCCGAUACCCGAUAAUCGAUCAACGAACCAAGUUACCCUGGGGAUAACAGCGCAAUCCACCCUGAAAGCCCUUAUUAACAGGUGGGUUUACGACCUCGAUGUUGGAUCAGGGUAUCCCAGUGGUGCAGCAGCUACUGAGGGUUCGUUUGUUCAACGAUUAAAACCCU